rnacentral:rRNA from 1 species
UACAGAGGGUGCAAGCGUUAAUCGGAAUUACUGAGCGUAAAGCGUGCGUAGACGGUCAUGUAAGUCGGGUGUGAAAGCCCCGGGCUCAACCUGGGAAUUGCAUUCGAGACUGCAUGGCUAGGAUGCGGAAGAGGGAAGCGGAAUUUCCGGUGUAGCGGUGAAAUGCGUAGAUAUCGGAAGGAACACCAGUGGCGAAAGCGGCUUCCUGGUCCAGCAUCGACGUUCAGGCACGAAAGCGUGGGGAGCAAACAGG